GCUGAGCAAAAUGAAGAGAAGCAAAGUACUCCAGUUGAGUAUAACAAUGUGAUGCGCUGUUUAGUAGCAGAGGCUACCCAAAAAUGUCGACCAGCUGUUGAACAGUUUGGCAGAGAAAAGCAUGGCAGAGAAGUAGUGGCAAAACAAAGUCAAAACAAGAAAGGCAAAGUAGCCGCUUCUGAUCUAAGCCAAGAGAGAGCGACAGUUACAGAACCAAGCUGUGAUGAUAAGAUGGGCACGUCGGCAGCUAAGCCAGACCAAGGCGAACGUCACAAAGUAGGUGACAUUGGCAUAGCAGAAUUAAAUAUUUCAGAGACACCUGGUAUAGCUACAACGACUUUGAAUGAUUGUUCGG